rnacentral:rRNA from 1 species
AUUGAACGCUGGCGGCAGGCCUAACACAUGCGAGUCGAACGGUAGCACAGAGAGCUUGCUCUCGGGUGACGAGUGGCGGACGGGUGAGUAAUGUCUGGGGAACUGCCCGAUGGAGGGGGAUAACUACUGGAAACGGUAGCUAAUACCGCAUAACGUCGCAAGACCAAAGUGGGGGACCUUCGGGCCUCACACCAUCGGAUGUGCCCAGAUGGGAUUAGCUAGUAGGUGGGAUAAUAGCUCACCUAGGCGACGAUCCCUAGCUGGUCUGAGAGGAUGACCAGCCACACUGGAACUGAGACACGGUCCAGACUCCUACGGGAGGCAGCAGUGGGGAAUAUUGCACAAUGGGCGCAAGCCUGAUGCAGCCAUGCCGCGUGUAUGAAGAAGGCCCUCGGGUUGUAAAGUACUUUCAGCGGGGAGGAAGGCGGUGAAGUUAAUAGCUUCACCGAUUGACGUUACCCGCAGAAGAAGCACCGGCUAACUCCGUGCCAGCCGCCGCCGCGG